rnacentral:rRNA from 1 species
GAUGAACGCUGGCGGCGUGCCUAAUACAUGCAAGUCGAGCGAACGGACGAGAAGCUUGCUUCUCUGAUGUUAGCGGCGGACGGGUGAGUAACACGUGGAUAACCUACCUAUAAGACUGGGAUAACUUCGGGAAACCGGAGCUAAUACCGGAUAAUAUUUUGAACCGCAUGGUUCAAAAGUGAAAGACGGUCUUGCUGUCACUUAUAGAUGGAUCCGCGCUGCAUUAGCUAGUUGGUAAGGUAACGGCUUACCAAGGCAACGAUGCAUAGCCGACCUGAGAGGGUGAUCGGCCACACUGGAACUGAGACACGGUCCAGACUCCUACGGGAGGCAGCAGUAGGGAAUCUUCCGCAAUGGGCGAAAGCCUGACGGAGCAACGCCGCGUGAGUGAUGAAGGUCUUCGGAUCGUAAAACUCUGUUAUUAGGGAAGAACAUAUGUGUAAGUAACUGUGCACAUCUUGACGGUACCUAAUCAGAAAGCCAUGGCUAACUACGUGCCAGCAGCCGCGGUAAUACGUAGGUGGCAAGCGUUAUCCGGAAUUAUUGGGCGUAAAGCGCGCGUAGGCGGUUUUUUAAGUCUGAUGUGAAAGCCCACGGCUCAACCGUGGAGGGUCAUUGGAAACUGGAAAACUUGAGUGCAGAAGAGGAAAGUGGAAUUCCAUGUGUAGCGGUGAAAUGCGCAGAGAUAUGGAGGAACACCAGUGGCGAAGGCGACUUUCUGGUCUGUAACUGACGCUGAUGUGCGAAAGCGUGGGGAUCAAACAGGAUUAGAUACCCUGGUAGUCCACGCCGUAAACGAUGAGUGCUAAGUGUUAGGGGGUUUCCGCCCCUUAGUGCUGCAGCUAACGCAUUAAGCACUCCGCCUGGGGAGUACGACCGCAAGGUUGAAACUCAAAGGAAUUGACGGGGACCCGCACAAGCGGUGGAGCAUGUGGUUUAAUUCGAAGCAACGCGAAGAACCUUACCAAAUCUUGACAUCCUUUGACAACUCUAGAGAUAGAGCUUUCCCCUUCGGGGGACAAAGUGACAGGUGGUGCAUGGUUGUCGUCAGCUCGUGUCGUGAGAUGUUGGGUUAAGUCCCGCAACGAGCGCAACCCUUAAGCUUAGUUGCCAUCAUUAAGUUGGGCACUCUAAGUUGACUGCCGGUGACAAACCGGAGGAAGGUGGGGAUGACGUCAAGUCAUCAUGCCCCUUAUGAUUUGGGCUACACACGUGCUACAAUGGACAAUACAAAGGGCAGCGAAACCGCGAGGUCAAGCAAAUCCCAUAAAGUUGUUCUCAGUUCGGAUUGUAGUCUGCAACUCGACUACAUGAAGCUGGAAUCGCUAGUAAUCGUAGAUCAGCAUGCUACGGUGAAUACGUUCCCGGGUCU